rnacentral:rRNA from 1 species
UACGGAGGGUGCAAGCGUUAAUCGGAAUUACUGGGCGUAAAGCGCACGCAGGUGGCUGAGUCAGUCGAUUGUGAAAGCCCUGGGCUUAACCCUGGGAAUUGCAGUCGAUACUACUCAGCUAGAGUAUGGGAGAGGGUAGUGGAAUUCCCGGUGUAGCGGUGAAAUGCGUAGAUAUCGGGAGGAACAUCAGUGGCGAAGGCGGCUACCUGGCC